UCCAAGCUAGCGAAUCGACAGGGCCUACGUAGCCUCCAGAGGGUUCCUUCUCCAAGCAGGACGUCCUCUCCUUGGCACGACCCCAAGGGAGAGGCGCUGAGCGACCCGCCGGCCCCGGGAGGCUGCCGGUAACUCGAGAGGGGCUCUCAGGGCGACCUUCCCCAGUACGCGGCAGGAGCAGAAAGCGGCAGCGAGAGACACACACCGUGUCACACACACUGCAGCCUCCCGAGCUCCUCCGUGCCACCGCUUCCCACGGGUGCUGCAGCCAAAAACAAGCCCGCACCCCCGAAUGGCAUCCACAGGAACCAAGAGCAGAGGCUGGCGAGCUGAGAGAAGAGUUUAACUGGCACAGCCCGGCCCCUCCUAGGAGCAAGGUGACGGCGGAGAUGGAAACACAGGGAUUUCCUCCAAGAUAGGGGACGGGGGUGCUGAAAAGGAAGGGAAAAUGAGCCACGCAGAGAAGACUUGUCACAAGCAAGAACAGCGGCUGCGGGGGGCCGCACACCAAAGGGAGCGACCUCGGCCGCGACCCCAGCCGGCCCGACCCGCUUCAGCCCCAUCCCCCAGCCCACCCUUGCUCCCGAUCGGCCGCUACCUUCCCCGCGGUGGAACCCAGCGAGGCGCGGAGGCCACUGCCCCUCAGCCCGGCCGCCACCCGGCUGCAGAUCAUGGAGGCCGCCAUGGCCGAGCCCCUUCGCCCUCGGGUGCCCCCAGCAGCGCGCACGCGCCGUGCGCGGGCAGGGGCGGGGCCGCGCGAGGCGCUUCCUGGCCCCGCCCCUCAGUGACGCCCGCCCGACGCCGGGGCGGGGCGGAGCGGCCCUGAGGGGCGCGUCCCGGCCUCUCGUUCUUUCCACCGUUUUGGUUUUAAUAAAGGUUAUUUGUGCUUCGCAAGGAUCCUAAACGGGUUGUAAUCCACCCACAACCUUCCGACUACGUCGGCUUCGUUUGGCACCGCCUGUGUUAAAAGGAAGGAAGGAAGCAAAGCUCCCUUAUGCCACGCCCACACUCCCUCCCCGUUCAGCUUUCCCAAUGGAAGAACUUCCAGUGUUUUCACUCCAGAGGAUUACUUUUUUUGGUUCCGUAUUUCUGGGCGUUUCCGUGCAGCGAUAUAAACACAACCAUUCUUGCUUAAGACAAGGGGGAAUGGUUUUAAAAUGAAAGAGGGCAGGUUUAGAUUAGAUGUCAGGAAGGAAUUCUCUGUUGUGAGGAUGGGAGGCAGUGGAACAGGUUUCUCAGAGAAGCUGUGGAUGCCCCAUCCCUGAAAGUGUUCCAGGCCAGGCUGGAUGGGGCUUUGAGCAACCGGGUCUAGUGGAAGUUGUCCCUGCCCAUGGCAGGUGGGUUGGAAUUCGAUAAUCUUUAAGGUCCUUUCCAACCCAAACCAUUCAGUGGUUCUAGUGUUUCUAGAUAUUUUGCAGCCCCUUCCCAUGCCACAACCCCCAUUUCUGCCUCACACAGCUCCAUGCUGUGCCUCCCCCUCUGCAAUUCAGUGUCUGUACUUUUACUUUCAUGGCCUUGACUCAGGUCACUAAGGAACUGAAGCAGGGGACAGGUGUUCCUGUAGAAACGAUGACCAGACCUUGUGACUCACCAGCAGGCAAAGCUUUUUCCUUUAAAACAAAAUGUAAUUAGGAAAUUAGCUUUGGCCUGGGAAAUUUGAACAAAAAUGUCCUCUACCCAUAAUAAGGAAAAAUGCAGUUACUUCCGUACAUUAUCAACAUCAAAGCAAGAUCUGAUGUGAAAGAUAGCCAUGUCAGAACUGUGAUUCUUCUUGAGUUUUGUAACUUGAAUUAUCCAAUAAACACCUGGAUGUUA